rnacentral:lncRNA from 1 species
UUAGCAACAACAAAAAUAAAAAAAGAGAGAGAUUGAGAGUCUCGACAGAAGAGAUGGAAAAAAGUUUCUGAUUAAAACACUAGGCAGACUCGAACGGCUCAAAAACAUGGAUAUUCUGUAAACAUGUACAAAUUAAGGAUAAGGCAAAUGAGUGAAAUUCCUUUGAAAAAGGUAAAAAAAAAAAAAGAGUGCGUACCUUGAAGCGCGAGGGAUGGACUGAGACAUUGAAGCGAAAGGAGCUGAAGUCGCUGUGGGUUUAAGGUUGAGGGACUUUUGAGUUAUGGUUUUAGAUAUGUUUUUUUGUUUCUUGAAAAUGAUUCAGUACACAGUUCUUCCUUUCCUUUUAUAAAAAUAAAUUGGCUGCUUUUUGCCUUUAGAAAACACACACACAAAUAAUAAAAACUGUACUUUAAUGAUUUGUGAUAUAUAACUAUUGUCUUUUUUUUUUUUCUUUUGACAACAAACGAAAAGAUUGACUUUAAGAAAGCCAAUGAAUGGGACAGUUGUUUACAAACUUAGCAGCAUACGGUAAGACUCGUACUUGACGAGCCAGAUUAUCCGCAACACUAUUCGCACUCCUUGGGAUGAGAGAAAGGGAAAAGGUUGAGAAUUCUUCCUUAUCAGCUUGGAUAUCGUUCAGGUAAACAGAGAAAGCCGGCCACUCUGAAGGAGAAGACACCAUCUUCACCAAAUCGGAACAGUCCGUCAAGAAAACAACAUCUCUGAAGUCGUGGCCAAUCAUACAUCUCAUGGCCCACACCAAAGCCUCCACUUCUGAAUGAAGAGGAGUGAGGCUUCGUCGGAGGUUAGAAGCCUUCAUAAAACUGGAACCAUCAUGAGCUUGCUGACAACACCAUCCUAUACCCGUAAACUUAUCUGUGUCUUUCCAAGAACCAUCAAUAAAACAUCUAUAACCGAAAGAGAUUGGCACAAGAGGCAGAACUCUGCCGAUUGUCCGGUGACCAUUACCCCGGGCCUCCACUACGACAUCUUGGUCUUCAACUUGUGCCUCCCGCCAAGCCUUUGUAAGUGCGGAUGAGGCAAUAAUAUAGUGCAGAAAAUAAAUGAGACACAAAGUUUGUUAACGAGGUUCGGUUUUUCCUACUCCCCGGGACCAAGUCCAGAUUUCGAUUUCACUAGAACAAGAAAGCAAAUACAACCAAUUUGCAAACGCGUAAAUCAAGCACACCCCUCUUGAACUACCGCUCUGAACUAUAACAUGAAACCUUAAGGAUAAAUCUCUAUCCUUAACUAAACUCCCCCUGAGUCUAGAUUUAACCAAGAU